rnacentral:rRNA from 1 species
AGAGUUUGACCCUGGCUCAGCGCGAACGCUUGCGGCGCGCCUAACACAUGCAAGUCAGGGGGCACCGCCCUUUUGGGCGGUGUAACCGGCAAACGGGUGAGUAACGCGUGGGUAACCUACCCCCGGGAGGGGGAUAACCCCCCGAAAGGGGGGCUAAUACCCCAUAAAGAGCCCCUGCACGAAGCAGAGGGCUCCAAAGGCCCGCCUCUGGUUCUGCCAAGCGGGCGCCCAGGGAUGGGCCCGCGUCCCAUCAGGUAGUUGGUGGGGUAAAAGCCCACCAAGCCGAUGACGGGUAGCCGGCCUGAGAGGGUGGUCGGCCACAGCGGGACUGAGACACGGCCCGCACCCCUACGGGGGGCAGCAGUGGGGAAUCGUGGGCAAUGGGCGAAAGCCUGACCCCGCGACGCCGCGUGGGGGAAGAAGCCCUUCGGGGUGUAAACCCCUGUCGGGCCGGACGAAGCGGCCGGGGGUUAAGAGCCCCCGGUCGUGACGGUACGGCCAGAGGAAGGGACGGCUAACUACGUGCCAGCAGCCGCGGUAAUACGUAGGUCCCGAGCGUUGCGCGGAGUUACUGGGCGUAAAGCGUCCGCAGCCGGCCCCGCAAGCGGGUUGUCAAAGCCCACGGCUCAACCGUGGAAUGGCAUCCCGAACUGCGGGGCUUGAGGCUUGCUCGGGCAGGCGGAAUUCCCGGUGUAGCGGUGAAAUGCGUAGAUAUCGGGAGGAACACCGGUGGGGAAGCCGGCCUGCUGGGGCUAGCCUGACGGUCAGGGACGAAAGCCGGGGGAGCAAACCGGAUUAGAUACCCGGGUAGUCCCGGCCGUAAACCAUGGGCGCUAGGCGUUGUCCCGUAAGGGGCAGUGCCGAAGCUAACGCGUUAAGCGCCCCGCCUGGGGAGUACGGCCGCAAGGCUGAAACUCAAAGGGAUUGGCGGGGGCCCGCACAACCGGUGGAGCGUCGGGUUUAAUCGGAUGCUAACCCUAGAACCUUACCCGGGCUUGACAUGCACGGGGAGCCACCCGAAAGGGUGGUGUGCCCACCGUAAGGUGGGACCCGUGCACAGGUGGUGCAUGGCCGUCGU